UUGCUGGCCUUUAGAAAUAUAUCAAAACUUUAUUUUAUAACCAGUGUAAUAACGGAUGUAGCCUAUUGCAUUUCAGGGAUGAUCUAUGUUGUAUUCCCUGGAUGUUCAUUGGUAUUAAUAGCCUUCAGUUUUACAUGCGGCCAGAAGAUGACACUAUACACUGGUAAACUAUUGAUCGUUGUUCCACAGAGUUCCUAAACCCAGAAGCGCAACAUCGCGAGACUUCCGGGAACGCAUGUGCAGCAGACCAGGCUGAGGGUUUGGGGUUUGAUGAGUCAAUUAUGAAGGGUUCUGCAAGUAAGCAGCAGCGAAAUAGACGAGCUCUGGUGGACAGCACUUUUUCUUCCAACCAAUCAGGUGGUGUUGUCAUUCAGGAAGGCGCUUUCACGUUUCACAAGGUUCUGGUCUGGAAGCACGUUUUCCCCUGUGCUAAAUAUGAAUCAGAUUUGUCAAAAUUACUAGCUAGCUAAAUGAUAUUCACUGAAUUUGAAAGGUACACAAGGCGUUGUUGUGGAAGAUGAAGGGAAGAAUUAAAACACAUUUUUCAACAUAGCACAACCGCUACAAAGCUGAUGCUAGCUAGCCUCUUCUAUUGAGAUUACAUGGCUGGUUAGCUAGCUAGCAUUAGAGCUUUCUGGUUAGCCUGUGUCUAGUGGUUCUUACAUUACGUAACAGAGCAAUAGGUCUAGCCAUGUAGUUGCCAUUUGGUUGAGAAUCAUUAGUUUAGAAAAUACUUGUUUGCUCUGUGUAUAUUUGGUGUGUAGUUGGUUGGCUUUGUAAGUUAGCAAGCUGAGAUCAAUGCUCAAGUUUGCUAACGUUAGCAAGCUUGAUAAAUGUUUUGAGGAGAACAGGCUAGCGCCCUGUUGAAUCAAGAUGGUAUGGGGAAGAAGAUUAGAUGUGCAGUUGCUUCAUCUACCCGAUGCAGUGCCCAAACGAGAUCUAACUGCUCCAGAGAGAAUCUGAGCGAUCUCACCCUUUUAUAUCUUGAUUAGCAAGCUGUCAAUGUCUAACCAACGCAAUUAUAUUAAUUUUAUAGGUAACUAGCUAGUUCUUCUAGCGUCCGUUAAAUGUUACAGCCACAACAUCAUGAUCAUGUAGUCAUGCAUCUGCAGACCAGCGAGGUGGAGAAAAGCUUGCUUUGGAUCUGCUAAGCACACCUCUGCCUCUGCUACCCACACAACUACGGCCUCAAAGUGGUUGGGUCAACUCCUUCCUGGCUGGCCCUGUUCAGGAGUGACAUUGGACAGGGCCACAGUGUCUCCCAGCCCCUGUCUCCGUCCCCAGUAAUUAUUCCACAAUAGUUUAUGUCGGGCGCUAGGGUAAACUUGUCUUAUCUGGACCGUAUUCCCAAAGAAUCUUAGAGGAGUGUAGAUCUAGGAUCAGUUUUUACUUUUAUAUCAUAAUUAAUCAAAUUAUAUUGACUGGUGGAACCUGACCCUAGAUCAGCACUCCUACUCUUGUGGCGCAUUUCCAUACAGGAUUUACCACAGUGUUUUACCUAAAAGGCUCAGACUUUUCUGUCUCCAUCUACGUGGGCCGGCACCCGUGUCUCACUGGGCCAUGGCUCCGUCGGACCUUCUCUCUUGGGGCCAAAGCCAGGCCGCUGAUACUUUUCAGCCUGCUUUUACAUAACAAUGGCUAACUGUGAACUUUAACAUCUUCUCACAAAGCAACGAUUUUGAUAAUGCAGAGGUUGUGGAUUCUGCUCUUCACUGCCAGCCCUAGCUAUGGAAACAAUUUCCCUAGUAUAACGUAAGGGUUUAUGCACUAGUGUAACACUGAUGUUAGUCGAAAAGCAGCAUUGCAUGCUUUGUGAAUAUGGGCCUUGGUCUAAUGUGUGAUCUUAGGCAUGCUCCCACUAACAAAAUCAUCUAGAAUGUUAUUGUAUGCUGUAGUGUUAAGAUUUUCCUUCACUGGUACUAAGGGGCUUAGCACGAACCAUGAAAAACAGCCCCAGAACAUUAUUCCUCGUCCACCAAACUUUACAGUUGGUAGGUAGCGUUUUCCUGGCAUCUGCCAAACCCAGAUUUGUCUGUCGGACUGACCGAUGGUGAAGCGUGAUUCAUCACUCCAGAGAACGCGUUUCCACUAUUCCAGAGUCCAAUGGUGGCAAGCUGUAUAUACCACGCCAGCCGACGCUUGGCAUUGCGCAUGGUGAUCUUGGGUUUUUAUGCGGCUGCUCGGACAUGGAAACCCAUUUCAUGAAGCUCCCGACUAAUAGUUCUUGUGCCGACAUUGC